CAAYSUUGCAAGUCKAGCGAAUGGAUUGAGAGCUUGCUCUCWAGAAGUUAGCGGCGGACGGGUGAGUAACACGUGGGUAACCUGCCCAUAAGACUGGGAUAACUCCGGGAAACCGGGGCUAAUACCGGAUAACAUUUUGAACUGCAUGGUUCGAAAUUGAAAGGCGGCUUCGGCUGUCACUUAUGGAUGGACCCGCGUCGCAUUAGCUAGUUGGUGAGGUAACGGCUCACCAAGGCAACGAUGCGUAGCCGACCUGAGAGGGUGAUCGGCCACACUGGGACUGAGACACGGCCCAGACUCCUACGGGAGGCAGCAGUAGGGAAUCUUCCGCAAUGGACGAAAGUCUGACGGAGCAACGCCGCGUGAGUGAUGAAGGCUUUCGGGUCGUAAGACUCUGUUGUUAGGGAAGAACAMGUGCUAGUUGAAUAAGCKGGCRCCUUGUCGGUWCCUMACCAGAGAGCCWCGGCUAAMUACRKGYCAGMUSCCGCGGUAAUAUSUGUGUGGCAMGCGUUAUCCGCARUWAUKGUGCGUAAAACGCGCGCAAGUGG
rnacentral:rRNA from 1 species